rnacentral:rRNA from 1 species
ACUGAGAGUUUGAUCCUGGCUCAGGAUGAACGCUGGCGGCGUGUCUAAGGCAUGCAAGUCGUACGUGUUCCGCAGCAAUGCGGAAUGCGUGGCAAACGGGAGCGUAACACAUUGGUAACCUACCCUUGAGAUGAGUAUAACCCCGCGAAAGCGGGGAUAAUCCUCAAUGAAAGUGAGGGGUCUUAAGACAUUCUCACUUAAACCCGCCGCAAGGCGGGGCUCAAGGAGGGGCCUAUGUCUCAUCAGCUUGUUGGCAGGGUAACGGCCUACCAAGGCUAUGACGAGUACCGGGUGUGAGAGCAUGACCCGGCUCACUGGGACUGAGACACUGCCCAGACUCCUACGGGAGGCUG